AGUUCGUCAGAGAGUUAGGAAGUGACGCAAGAAACUCGGAUGUACCCAGAGAAGGGAAAAGGAUCAGAGAGGGAAUAAGUGAAGGAAACAACGCCGAUUUCACUGACAGGAAUCAUCGGACAGCAGCACCUCAGACUCCUGUCCUCUCAAGCAGCACCACGCACCCGGGUCCUCCUGACGCCUGUGAUGCGGGACAAGGAGCGGCGCCUGGUGGUGGGGCGGCCUUGGGCAGGGAGCGCAGAAGGGCAGGUAGAUGGUGCCCACGUCGAGACGUCAGCAGCAGGUGAGCUUUAAGGGCACAUUCCCUUGUGUAGGCGUCGUCCUUUUAUCCAGAGCAGUACCUGCAACAUAGUCAGUGUUGGGGAGGGUCUCCUGCAGACGGCGCUCCGAACGGCCCGGGCUCCGCCCACCGCGCUCCGCCCACCGCGCGCCGAAAGGCCCGGGCC